UCAGACGAACGCGGCGGCGUGCUAUACAUGCAAGUCGAGCGGACAGAAGGGAGCUUGCUCCGGAUGUAGCGGCGGACGGGUGAGUAACACGUGGGUAACCUGCCUGUAAGACUGGGAUAACUCCGGGAAACCGGAGCUAAUACCGGAUAGUUCCUUGAACCGCAUGGUUCAAGGAUGAAAGACGGUUUCGGCUGUCACUUACAGAUGGACCCGCGGCGCAUAGCUAGUUGGUGAGGUAACGGCUCACCAAGGCGACGAUGCGUAGCCGACCUGAGAGGGUGAUCGGCCACACUGGGACUGAGACACGGCCCAGACUCCUACGGGAGGCAGCAGUAGGGAAUCUUCCGCAAUGGACGAAAGUCUGACGGAGCAACGCCGCGUGAGUGAUGAAGGUUUCGGAUCGUAAAGCUCUGUUGUUAGGGAAGAACAAGUGCAAGAGUAACUGCUUGCACCUUGACGGUACCUAACCAGAAAGCCACGGCUAACUACGUGCCAGCAGCCGCGGUAAUACGUAGGUGGCAGCGUUGUCCGGAAUUAUUGGGCGUAAAGGGCUCGCAGGCGGUUUCUUAAGUCUGAUGUGAAAGCCCCCGGCUCAACCGGGGAGGGUCAUUGGAAACUGGGAAACUUGAGUGCAGAAGAGGAGAGUGGAAUUCCACGUGUAGCGGUGAAAUGCGUAGAGAUGUGGAGGAACACCAGUGGCGAAGGCGACUCUCUGGUCUGUAACUGACGCUGAGGAGCGAAAGCGUGGGGAGCGAACAGGAUUAGAUACCCUGGUAGUCCACGCCGUAAACGAUGAGUGCUAAGUGUUAGGGGGUUUCCGCCCCUUAGUGCUGCAGCUAACGCAUUAAGCACUCCGCCUGGGGAGUACGGUCGCAAGACUGAAACUCAAAGGAAUUGACGGGGGCCCGCACAAGCGGUGGAGCAUGUGGUUUAAUUCGAAGCAACGCGAAGAACCUUACCAGGUCUUGACAUCCUCUGACAACCCUAGAGAUAGGGCUUUCCCUUCGGGGACAGAGUGACA
rnacentral:rRNA from 1 species